UACGAAGGGGGCUAGCGUUGUUCGGAAUUACUGGGCGUAAAGCGCACGUAGGCGGCGCAGCAAGUCAGGGGUGAAAUCCCGGGGCUCAACCCCGGAACUGCCCUUGAAACUGCAGUGCUAGAAUUCUGGAGAGGCGAGUGGAAUUCCGAGUGUAGAGGUGAAAUUCGUAGAUAUUCGGAAGAACACCAGUGGCGAAGGCGACUCGCUGGACAGACAUUGACGCUGAGGUGCGAAAGCGUGGGGAGCAAACAGG
rnacentral:rRNA from 1 species